rnacentral:rRNA from 1 species
GAUGAACGCUGGCGGCGUGCCUAAUACAUGCAAGUCGAACGAGGUGCUUUUGUAGCAAUACGAGAGUAUCCUAGUGGCGAACGGGUGAGUAACGCGUUGGUGACCUACCCCAAAGUGUGGGAUAACAGUCCGAAAGGAUUGCUAAUACCGCAUGUGGUCUUCGGAUUUAGAAACUGAUGACUAAAGGAGCAAUUCGCUUUGGGAGGGACCUGCGUCCCAUCAGCUAGUUGGUGAGGUAAUGGCUCACCAAGGCUACGACGGGUAGGGGACCUGAGAGGGUGACCCCCCCACAAUGGAACUGAAACACGGUCCAUACACCUACGGGUGGCAGCAGUAGGGAAUAUUGCACAAUGGGCGAAAGCCUGAUGCAGCAACGCCGCGUGUGCGAUGAAGGCCUUCGGGUCGUAAAGGCACUUUUUCUGGGAGAUGAGCAAGGACAGUAUCGUCAGGAAUAAGUCUCGGCUAACUACGUGCCAGCAGCCGCGGUAAU